CGUGGGAGCGGGCUUGCUCGCGAUACAAACGACGCGGUGCUCUUUUAGACCACAGCGAUUCGAUCGCGAGCAAGCCCGCUCCCACA
rnacentral:antisense_RNA from 1 species